UACGUAGGGUGCAAGCGUUGUCCGGAAUUAUUGGGCGUAAAGAGCUCGUAGGCGGCUUGUCACGUCGACUGUGAAAACCCGGGGCUCAACUCCGGGCCUGCAGUCGAUACGGGCUGGCUUGAGUGCGGUAGGGGAGACUGGAAUUCCUGGUGUAGCGGUGAAAUGCGUAGAUAUCAGGAGGAACACCGGUGGCGAAGGCGGGUCUCUGGCUGACAACUGACGCUGAGGUGCGAAAGCUAGGGGAGCGAACGGG
rnacentral:rRNA from 1 species